rnacentral:rRNA from 1 species
UACGAAGGGGGCUAGCGUUGCUCGGAAUCACUGGGCGUAAAGCGCACGUAGGCGGAUUCUUAAGUCGGUGGUGAAAUCCUGGAGCUCAACUCCAGAACUGCCUUCGAUACUGAGAGUCUUGAGUUCGGGAGAGGUGAGUGGAACUGCGAGUGUAGAGGUGAAAUUCGUAGAUAUUCGCAAGAACACCAGUGGCGAAGGCGGCUCACUGGCCCGAUACUGACGCUGAGGUGGCGAAAGCCUGGGGAGCGAACGGG